UGUAGCUUACCACGAUAAGCAGUUAUGAAUAAGGGGGUUUCACCUUUUGAAUUGGUCUCCCGGAUGAGAGUAGGGUCUUCUGGGUUUACCAAACACUCAAUAAUCGGGACAAUUCCGAGUUCUGCUGCAAGGUGAAGAGAAAAGAGUCAUCUCGAUCUGGAUGGUAAGAAGAGAUAGCUAAGUGAAGAGCAAUAUCUUCAGAUUUGGUGAGUUUGGAUUCACGGACAAACUCGUUGUUGAUGUACAGUUGCUGAACUUUUUCCCACUCAUUCUCCAUUGAUGCUUUAAAUAUUUGACGUACAAUUUCUUCCUGCAUCACGAUUGGAAUGGAGGAAUUCGUUGUUGACUGUGGUUGAAUUUCUGGUUUAACUUUUUUGGGGUCCAUUGGCACUACUUGUUUUUGCAGAUUGUGUUGAUGCCACUCACCAGUCACCAAUGGAUUCUAUAUAUACUGCUAGGAGAGACGUAUUGUUGACAAAUAUUUCUUUACAAGCCUCUAUGCUGGUGCAUGUGUAAUGGCUCUUCUAGUAUCCAAAGUAUUAAAGAAUCUAAUACUCCUUUACUCUGA